AGACAAUAAAAUAAAACUGUUUUCCCUUUCUUCUCUUCUCGACGCUCAAUCAUCUGCCCGCUUGUCUGCUCCCGCGGCGGCAGCGGCAUGUAGUUAUCAACGCAGAAGGAUUAGGGGGUUUAAUUUGAUCUGCAAACUCUACCCAUAUUUUCCCAUCAGCUUCACUGAGAGCAUAAUUUGUGUAGGGAUUUUCCGUAGAUGGCACUGGCAUAGCUACUGCAAUCUCCAUCUUUUCCCUUAGUUGGAAAGCCCACUUAUUGCAAACUCUGCCCAUAUUAUCCCAUCGGCCUCUACUGCUCACUAUCACCAGCUAAGACAGAGGCAGGAUACAACUUUUCCUGAGACUGUCCACCAUGGCAAAGCUUCAGGAAGAUAAUAUACUUCGGGAGCAUGUUAGGAUUCAUGGAGUUGAAAGAUGAAGUUGAUUGAACAAUUGGUUUUGCCCAUGCAAUCCAUGGAAAUAAAUGGGCAUCCAUUGCAAGGAUUCUCUGAGUUACUUAAUGCAGCUUUUACUAUACAAGAAUUAGUACUGGCAUACUUGUAUUGAACACGUGGAAAUAAGAAGAAAUGCAGAAAUCCUUAAUUGGUGACUUGAUUCUGAAAUAUAUGUCAACGUGAUUUAUUUGCAUAUUCAUCACUCACAAACAUUACUGUUCUUGAGCCUAUCUUCACAUUCUCAUGCUGUAGACUUGUCCUUUCAUUGUAGAUCUUGUGGCUUCUCCACUAUAUUAAAAUAGCUCCGUAGUCUAACUAUAUUGUUGUGUGUUUGGACUACAUCUUUGUUGUUGUAUAUAAUGUCACCAUUAGUUCUUUGUCUUUGGAAUUUGGACUGCACUUAUUAUUUUCAAAGAGGUGAUUGUCUUUGUUUUUCUCUUUCACAACUUAAGCCUAUCCUUAUGAUUAUUCUGAAGCUCUUUCUCCGUUCUAGACAUCUUUGGCAUUUACUCUUAUGAUCUUCAGCUUCCUUGAUCCUUUUCAUUUGUUUUGUCCUCAAGUGUAGAGGCUUGUCCCUGAUCUUUGGAUUUAUCUCGAAUAUUUGUACUCCAUUAUGCUGCUAUCACUGGGGCAGGUUUGAAACUAUGGGAGACUGUUCUAGCCUUUGAUAGCUUUUGCCAUGUGACUGAAAUUCAACAUUAUUUUUCUUCUCCUUGUCUCACUAUUGCAGAGGUGGUCAUUUAUUGCUUAUGACUGUAUUAACCUUGUUUCACUGAUUACUUGAUGUCGCAAAUUGUCUUUGUUGUCUUGAUGAGGGUUUUUCUUGUAUUCUCUAAGUUUGAUAUUCUCAUUAUCAUCGAUGUCAAGGCUUUUUGUAUGUCUUCUCUUUGGUCUGCUAUAAUGUAAUUCAAACCUGUUGAUUUUUCUCUUUAUUUCUGGGUGAAAGUUGCUCUAACUUGUGCCCUGUGAUGUUCUUUUCCAUUGAUAUCUCUGUCCAAAAGCCUAGGAUUGUUGUCUGAUCUGCAGUAGCCUCUAUUCUUCCAUUAUGAAAUUUAACUUUUGACUGCGAUUUCUCAGUAAUAUUUGUUCUUUGAAGGACUACUCCCUUGAUACCUUCUCUACUACCUUUGACAGGUUUGAGACUGCUUCUAUACUAUCACUAUCUUUUGACAUUGUUUCAUUAUAAGCUAUCCUUACUGUUUACAUGUAUCUGCUACUAUCACCUUCUAUUGUGCUACAUUGUGUUCAUGAUUGGACUGUCAUCUUGCUUGGAUUGCUAUCAUUGCAUCUUGUAGAACUUCUAUCUAUGUUCUUAUUUUGUCACAGUCUUUUCACCUUGACGGUCCUCCUAAAUAUUUUCUUUAUGCACAUCUCUGUGAUAUUGACUUUCAAAACAAAUUGUCCUUCAGUACCUCUCAAUGUAUUAUGACUACAAAGAUAAUGGAUUGUACUUGCAAUCCCUUAUCUUUAUGGAUAUCAUUUACCUCUGAUUCAUAUGGAUUUUAUUUUAAAUAUUCUUGAAGCUUUGGCACUGAUUUAUGAGAGCAUUGAUUGCUACAUUCUUAAGUACUCUGUCACAACUGAGUUGUCCUCACUUUUGACUGCUACACCACUGUCUUUUAGAUUUGACACAUUGAGAUUGGUCCUUGAAACAACUUUGUCAUUGCAUUGUCCUUGAUUUUUACAGUGAUUAUCACUAUUCUCUUAUCCUAUUAUCCCAUGCAUACAACCCCACUAUUGUCUGUGUACUCUUUGAAUUUAUUUUUCUAAGUUUGGCGAGGACGGCCACUAGGUCUUUUCAUGGAGUGAUUGGUCCUAUCUUUGCUAUGUAUAGAUAGUGAUCUUCAUUGUUCCUUGUCCUUUAAUCUUGCCUUGACAUCUUCCAUACCAUCAAUACCCUUUGAUAGGGGUGCUUUUGAUGAAUAUUGCCACACUUGUGACUGUUAUAUGAUGUUGGGCAUAGCUCUAUCAUUGGUGGCUUCUUAUGCUACUAAACCUUCUCUUUGUUUUGGUCUUUGCCACCUUUCUUAGGACUUGUGACAGUCAUUUUGUGAUCUUUGGGAUCGUAUCAUUUCAUUACUGCCAACAAAUAUUUUCCUUGUAUUGACUUGCGUAUUCAUUGCUUGUAGCUGCUCUGUCUUUGUCCUUUGUGCUUUGCAAAUGACACAGAAUAAACAUUUCUAAUACUGUUCUUUUCUCUUGGAUCACUAGUAAAGUUGUUUUUAGGUGUAGGUCUUACUAUCCUAUGAUUUCAUUUUUUUUGUAUCCUCAAAAGUUCUUCCUUGUUGUCCAUUAUGAUUGAAUUUGUAUUGUGUUCUAUUUAGUGUCUUUAAACCUUCAUCUCUGUCAUAAGAAGUACAAAGCAUCUUGUAUAACUUGUUCCUCUUUCUACUAUCUCUGCAAAUGAUAUCACUGUCUACCUCCUUGACCUGCAACAAUUCAUAAUAGGAGGACAUUAUUGGCUUUGGACUAUACUUUGACGAAGGCCUAUCUUUUGUUUCACACCCUCAUAUCUUGUAUAUAGUUCAUGUUGGUUUGGGAAGGGGUAAUGGACUACUUUUGAUCUUCAUUUGUUGCUCUCCCUAGACUGUCUCUGCUCUUGAUAGUGAUUGUAUCCUCACUGUUUCUUGAGGACUGUUUUGAUGCUAUUAUUCAUGUGAUAAUCUUCUGCCCUUCUAAUCAGAUCUAAACUGCAUCUAUGAUCAUUGGAAUCUUUCUUUCCUUUGACAGUCCUUUGUUUCUACUGUUACAGGGUUAUCUUAGGGCUUGUUUUGAUGUUUUUUUGGGAUUUUGUGUGCAUCAAGCUUGCUUGGACUAAGGCUUUGAAAGAAAAGAUAAACAAACAAUGAUGCAUCUAUCAUGAAUGGUGAAAAGAUCAUAAUGUUUACAUUUAGGAUCAAUGAAUAUUUCAUAAAGAAUGAUUCAAUCAAAUGAAAGAAAGAUGAAAUAGAUGCAUGAAGGCGUUGAAGUCUGAAACCCUACCUCCUCUUCUUUGAAAACUCAUUGUUAUCUAUUGCUUCUAUUUUGAACUUGUUGUUUCCAUGUAUAAACCCUUGCAUGAUGAAGACCAUUACUUUCAAAUGAAUCCUAGGCGAUAAAUUUUUUUUUUUGAAAACCAUACAUUCAACUCUUAUCCUCAAAAACUCAACAUGGAAAGGUGGGAUGUUUAGUAAAAAUCUUUGUGAACUCAACAAGCCCUAAAGCAGUGUAGGGAAGCUUUUUUCAACUUUUAUUUUCCCUCUUAUUUGCAUGGUGAACUCAACCUUGACUCAACGUGGGAGGGGUUUGAUUUCUUUUCCUUAAUUUUCUUUUAUAGAAAUAAAACAUUGGCAAUGAUUUAUUCAUUUUUACAAAAUAUAACUAAUUCAAACUCUUUGAAAUGACUCCUGUUCUCUUUUAAAAAAAAACUAAAGACUCCUUGAUAACUCUAUUUUAGGCCCAAGACCUAACACAAGAAUUUUUUUAACUUGGAUAGGUGAAAAAUAGGUAAUAUUAGUCAAUGACAAUUACAUUGCUGAUUUCUUUCUUUUUAUGUUCCAGAUAUAUUGGAAGGCAUCAACGAGUAUAUCAAUGAUGCUGAAAUGAUGGAUAAAAUGACUACUAGGAGCCGUUCUGAAUUGAAACAUUGGCCUGUUCACACUGAGGAUAAGAAUCAAACCAUGUAUGUGCCAAUUCACAAACAUAAAUGUAUCAUUCAAAAUUUAUGUACAUUCUCUUUGUGUUGCUAGAGCCAGAUAGAUAUUGUAAGAUUUUGUCUAAUAAACAUGCAGUUGUCUAAUUUUCAAGGCAACAAAAAGAUGUUCAAUAAAAAAACAUAAAAUUGCUGGCAAUGGUCACAUGUUCUCAACCAUUAUUCAGACUUAAAACUUACUACUAAACCAAAGGGUGUUUUGAGACCCAAGAUUCUAAAGGGUACAAUUAUUCUUAAAGGGUGCUAGCUCAAUGGAAGAGUACCUGCUUUACAAGUGGGAGGAUGGUGGUUCAAUUCCAUCGCGCCCUAACAUGAAUUAAUCAAUGAUUGUAGUUUACAUUUAACAAUAGUGAUUUAUCUGAA